CUUACGGGUGGCUGCAGUGGGGAAUAUUGGACAAUGGGCGAAAGCCUGAUCCAGCCAUGCCGCGUGUGUGAAGAAGGCCUUCGGGUUGUAAAGCACUUUCAGUGGGGAAGAAAGCCUUGGGGCUAAUACCCUCGAGGAAGGACAUCACCCACAGAAGAAGCACCGGCUAACUCCGUGCCAGCAGCCGCGGUAAUACGGAGGGUGCGAGCGUUAAUCGGAAUUACUGGGCGUAAAGCGCGCGUAGGCGGUCUGAUAAGCCGGUUGUGAAAGCCCCGGGCUCAACCUGGGAACGGCAUCCGGAACUGUCAGGCUAGAGUGCAGGAGAGGAAGGUAGAAUUCCCGGUGUAGCGGUGAAAUGCGUAGAGAUCGGGAGGAAUACCAGUGGCGAAGGCGGCCUUCUGGACUGACACUGACGCUGAGGUGCGAAAGCGUGGGUAGCAAACAGGAUUAGAUCCCUUGUAGUC
rnacentral:rRNA from 1 species